GCCUGGGUGGCUUAGUCAGUUGAGCAUCCGACUUCGGCUCAGGUCAUGAUCUUACAGUUUGUGGGUUCAAGCCCCGCAUCAGGCU
rnacentral:tRNA from 1 species